CCUACGGGUGACAGCAGUGGGGGAUAUUGCACAAUGGGGGGAACCCUGAUGCAGCGACGCCGCGUGGGUGAAGAAUCGCCUCUGCGCGUAAAGCCCUGUCAGCAGGGAAGAAAAUGACGGUACCUGAAGAAUAAGCCCCGUCUAACUCCGUGCAAGCAGCCGCGGUAAUACGUAGGGUGCAAGCGUUAUCCGGAUUUUUUGGGUGUAAAGGGGGCGCAGGCGGCUUCGCAAGUCAGAGGUGAAAGGUCCGGGCCUAACCCGGGAACUGCUUCUGAGAGUGCUGAGCUAGAGAGUAGGUGCGGUAGGCGGAAUGUAUGGUGUAGCGGUGAAAUGCUUAGAGAUCAUACAGAACACCGAUUGCGAAGGCAGCUUACCAAACUAUAUCUGACGUUGAGGCACGAAAGCGUGGGGAGCAAACAGGAUUAGAUACCCUAGUAGUC
rnacentral:rRNA from 1 species